UGCAUCGGCCGGGAAUCGAACCCGGACCGCGGGCAGGCGAGCAUUCUACCACUGAACCACCGAUGG
rnacentral:tRNA from 1 species